rnacentral:rRNA from 1 species
GUUGGUACUUGUACCGACUGGAUGAGCAGCGAACGGGUGAGUAACGCGUGGGGAAUCUGCCUUUGAGCGGGGGACAACAUUUGGAAACGAAUGCUAAUACCGCAUAAAAACUUUAAACACAAGUUUUAAGUUUGAAAGAUGCAAUUGCAUCACUCAAAGAUGAUCCCGCGUUGUAUUAGCUAGUUGGUGAGGUAAAGGCUCACCAAGGCGAUGAUACAUAGCCGACCUGAGAGGGUGAUCGGCCACAUUGGGACUGAGACACGGCCCAAACUCCUACGGGAGGCAGCAGUAGGGAAUCUUCGGCAAUGGACGAAAGUCUGACCGAGCAACGCCGCGUGAGUGAAGAAGGUUUUCGGAUCGUAAAACUCUGUUGGUAGAGAAGAACGUUGGUGAGAGUGGAAAGCUCAUCAAGUGACGGUAACUACCCAGAAAGGGACGGCUAACUACGUGCCAGCAGCCGCGGUAAUACGUAGGUCCCGAGCGUUGUCCGGAUUUAUUGGGCGUAAAGCGAGCGCAGGUGGUUUAUUAAGUCUGGUGUAAAAGGCAGUGGCUCAACCAUUGUAUGCAUUGGAAACUGGUAGACUUGAGUGCAGGAGAGGAGAGUGGAAUUCCAUGUGUAGCGGUGAAAUGCGUAGAUAUAUGGAGGAACACCGGUGGCGAAAGCGGCUCUCUGGCCUGUAACUGACACUGAGGCUCGAAAGCGUGGGGAGCAACAGGAUUAGAUACCUGGUAGUCACGCCGUAA